UUCCACCCUGGCUCCUGGGAGAGAGUUGCCAAUGAGGAGAUGUGGCAGGCCAGGAUGAAGACAGCUUUUUUCCUGUUUGACCUGGCUGAGAACAUGGAGAAGGAACAGCAGGCCCGUCUCAAUGAACUUUCUUACAAUCUGUAUUGUCAAAUAGUGGAUACCCAGGUAGACUACCCAGCAAACUGGGAUAAGAACCUGGCUCUUGCCGCAGAAUGUCUGCUGCGAUCAGGGGCAGAGGUCAUGGUCUAGAUUCCCUCCUGAGUCGCAGCAUCCGCCACUUCAGCCACUACCUUCAGAGAGAACCCACCGAUCCCCAGAGCAAAGCCAUCCGCUCCAUCAUCACACAUCUCAAGAAAGAGCGCGAGAAACUCAGAGACAGACAGAAGGCUUGAGACAGGAAGUGACAUAAGUUGUCUGAAACAACACAGAGAGCCUGCAAAACACUGAAAUCACCUACGACACUACAUAGGUGCAGAUAGCACAAUAAGGUAAGAGGGAGGGUCGUAAAUAUGAAGAAAGCUGUAAAGACGAAAUUUAAAGACAGUGCAGGUAUGACUGAAGACUAACUGAUGUUUAAUGUGUAUUUUACCAACACUCAGAUUCAUCUCAAAGUAAAUUGAACUCAAAAUGCUAAAAUGGACCAAUCUGUCACAACAUGAGUUUUAUACAGAGAUCUUUUAUAUUGUAGGAUAUGAGCUACUGAUCCAUAACCACAUCAUUGUAACAUCAGAGUAAACUGUUCAUUUAGUUGACAGACAUUAUUUCAUUAACAAGAUGAUAUAGUGGUCGGUUAUAAAAAUCAGGGAUUCAUUUAUAUUUCCUCAACAUGCUAAUCUCAAACAUCUACGACUCCAAGAUUCAAGAGAAUUUCCACAGUGAAGGUAAAGGGACACAAUUUUCUGAACUCUAAUAGAAUUUGUUGUAUUUGUGUAGGUUUCUUUUGUAAUAAAAUUUUCACACUUUGUGAAUGUUAAUGUGCAUUGAGUUGAUGAUCAAAGGUGUCCUUAACCACUCAUUCCGCCUCUCCCCAUCUCUCUUUUUUGAAUAAUUAUCAUUUGCCCCCCGCUGUCAUGCAUCUCUCUCUCUCACUUUAGGAUCACGAAGGUCUCA